CGUAGGGUGCGAGCGUUAAUCGGAAUUACUGGGCGUAAAGCGUGCGCAGGCGGUUUAGUAAGACAGGCGUGAAAUCCCCGGGCUCAACCUGGGAACUGCGCUUGUGACUGCUAAGCUAGAGUACGGCAGAGGGGGGUGGAAUCCCACGUGUAGCAGUGAAAUGCGUAGAGAUGUGGAGGAACACCAAUGGCGAAGGCAGCCCCCUGGGUCGAUACUGACGCUCAUGCACGAAAGCGUGGGUAGCAAACAGGAUUAGAUACCCUGGUAGUCCACGCCCUAAACGAUGUCAACUAGGUGUUGGGAGGGUAAAACCUUUUAGUACCGGAGCUAACGCGUGAAGUUGACCGCCUGGGGAGUACGGCCGCAAGGUUA
rnacentral:rRNA from 1 species